GGGAUUGUAGUUCAAUUGGUAAGAGCACUGCCCUAUCAAGGUGGAAGGUGGGUUUGAGCCCCGUCAAUCCCA
rnacentral:tRNA from 1 species